UUUCACAGACUGCUGCAUGCAUGUUACUGAAAAUACACAGCACUGCCGCUUACACGCAGGUCAGCCCAAAGCGAGAAAUGGUGGAACGGUGCAAACUCUGUCCAAGAAUUUCAUUUGCUCAGAAAGACCCACUGUUUUCUGUCUUGUUACAAAGAGUGCAUUGGACCAUGGUUGCUCUACACAUUUGCAUGCAUCCACCCCUUUGCACUGUUUCCCAUGGGCUGUUGUGUUUCUUCUCAGACUCCCCUUCCUGAAAAACAGUGAAUUUGAGUUUCCUUAAUAGAAUUUGAGUUGCUCUGUCUGUCCAUCUAUCUCUACCCCUUUCCCCACACCCGUGCAAAUCAGAACAACCUCUCAAGCAUAGCCAUCACAGCCAGCCUACCGCUCGAGACCAGUCUGGCAGCUGUGACCAGCAUCGUCGAGUGGUGCCAGACACAGCUGGGUUUACGUGGAUGCCCGGGGUGCUUGCACCAAUGCCCAAGGCACCCCGUGCCAGAAGCCCUGUGUUUCUUCCCAGCUAACAUUCCCCCAAAGCGUUUUCUUUCUACAGCCAAAGUCUCAGCUUCCUGAGACUUAGCAAAUGUUUUCCAAGCUGAGUCUUUGCAAUCGUUUCUUUCAGAGAUGACCCUGGGUGACUAACCUCAGGCUGCUGAGACACUAUGUCUUGGAUAAUAUUUCAGAUUACUCGGAGUUAACUGGCAGCAUCCUGGGUGAUUUGGACAGGAAAGAUGGGAAAUGCACUGGAACAGAACUGGAUGGUUUAAGUUUAUCAUCUGCUCAUCUCUUGAUAGAGAUCAGUAUAGAUUAGAGGUUAUUACCAAGCAGCCCCUGGAAGCAACCACAGCAGCACAGCAGAUUCAGCUGCCUUACUCCUGCAGAACCAAGCCUUUGGUAAACAGUGACUGCAUUUGUAAGACUACAUUUGUAAGACUAAAUACCCAGUCCGCAUUACCUCAACAGAUCCAUCAGCUGUGCUUCUGCAUCACUAUCUUCAACCUACUAAGCUAUACUUUCCCUCAGAGUUUUAUCUACCUUAUUAGUAGGCUUCA